CCCGCUGAACUUAAGCAUAUCAAUAAGCGGAGGAAAAGAAACUAACAAGGAUUCCCCUAGUAACGGCGAGUGAAGCGGGAUGAGCUCAAAUUUAAAAUCUGGUAGCCUUUGGUUGCCCGAGUUGUAAUCUAGAGAAGCGUUUUCCGUGCUGGACUGUGUACAAGUCUCCUGGAAUGGAGCAUCACAGAGGGUGAGAAUCCCGUCUUUGACAUGGACUGCCAGUGCAUUGUGGAUGUGCUCUCAACGAGUCGAGUUGUUUGGGAAUGCAGCUCUAAAUGGGUGGUAAAUUCCAUCUAAAGCUAAAUAUUGGCGAGAGACCGAUAGCGAACAAGUACCGUGAGGGAAAGAUGAAAAGAACUUUGGAAAGAGAGUUAAACAGUAUGUGAAAUUGUUGAAAGGGAAACGAUUGAAGUCAGUCAUGUUGGCUGGGGAUCAGCGAUGACAUUUAUGUUGGGUGUACUUCCUGGUAGACGGGUCAGCAUCAAUUUCGUCCGCCGGAUAAAGGUUGAGGGAACGUGACAUCUUUCGAGGUGUAGUUAUAGCCCUCGAUUCGCAUACGGCGAUUGUGAGUUGAGGAACUCAGCGCAGCCUUUAUGGUCGAGGUAGCAACCCACGUAACGCGCUCAGGAUGCUGGCAUAAUGGCUUUAAGCGACCCGUCUUGAAACACGG
rnacentral:rRNA from 1 species